CAAGUCGAACGCGAAAGUCCCCUUCGGGGGGCAAGUAGAGUGGCGCACGGGUGAGUAACACGUAGGUAAUCUACCUUCGGGUGGGGAAUAACAAUCGGAAACGGUUGCUAAUACCGCAUAAUGCAGCGGCACCUAAUGGUGACAGUUGUUAAAGCGGGGGAUCGAAAGAUCUCGCGCCUGAAGAGGAGCCUGCGGCGGAUUAGCUAGUUGGUAGGGUAAUGGCCUACCAAGGCGACGAUCCGUAGCCGGCCUGAGAGGGCGGUCGGCCACACUGACACUGACAUACGGGUCAGACUCCUACGGGAGGCAGCAGUCGGGAAUUUUGGGCAAUGGGCGAAAGCCUGACCCAGCAACGCCGCGUGAAGGAUGAAAUCCCUCGGGAUGUAAACUUCGCAAGAACGGGAAGAAUUAGUGGAAGUUAAUACCUUCCAUGAUGACGGUACCGUUUGUAAGCUCCGGCUAACUCCGUGCCAGCAGCCGCGGUAAUACGGGGGGAGCAAGCGUUGUUCGGAUUUACUGGGCGUAAAGGGCGCGUAGGCGGCCUCCGCAAGUCAGUUGUGAAAUCUCCGAGCUUAACUCGGAAAGGUCAACUGAUACUGCGGGGCUAGAGUGCGGAAGGGGCAACUGGAAUUCUUGGUGUAGCGGUGAAAUGCGUAGAUAUCAAGAGGAACACCUGCGGCGAAGGCGGGUUGCUGGGCCGACACUGACGCUGAGGCGCGAAAGCUAGGGGAGCGAACGGGAUUAGAUACCCCGGUAGUCCUAGCCUUAAACGAUGAAUGCUUGGUGUCUGGGGUUAUAUAGUCCCCGGGUGCCGUCGCUAACGCUUUAAGCAUUCCGCCUGAGGAGUACGGUCGCAAGACUGAAACUCAAAGGAAUUGACGGGGACCCGCACAAGCGGUGGAGCAUGUGGUUUAAUUC
rnacentral:rRNA from 1 species